ACCUCUUACCAUAUCUGUUCUUGGUUUCAAUUUGAGAAGAUCGACUUUGUGAAUCCCUUUUAUCUAUGAGAUUAACGUUAGUUCUUAAACGUGCAUGUGUAAUUUUCUGUUCCCUCCGUACCGGAGAUGAUCUAGGUUAAUUUCUGAAUUGUUCAAUUAGGAGAGUUUUAGAUCUGCAGAUUUGAGUUCAAGUGAAGCAGAUUUGAGGCUUGGUUCUAAUUGCAGGCCACGGGGAUUGGAAUUUCCUAUGAUCCCUCCUCAUAUUACGACCGGAAAAGCCUGGUGCAAGACGUUGCUGAUUCGUUUAGAACCGGAGCUGCAACGAACAACUGGAAUGAGUGACCAAAGCUAUUAUUACUGGUGUCGAAAUGACUGGAAUGAGUGAUAGAGUUUGUGUUGACCUUUGCAGCCUCAUGAAACCUGGUUGGAUCUUUUGCUAGAGGAUUAUUUCUUGUUCACUCACAGUCAAACUACAUUGCUACUAGGCCUUUCGCAGUUAACACUUCCCGUCCAUGCCUAUAUGGCGAUUUCAGGAGGUAAAACUUGCUACCUAUCAGCAGGGGCGGCUGCACCCACAUAAUGUGGGUCGGGGUCCCAGGACCCCAAUCAUUUCAUUAAAUAUGUGUUUUAUAAAGUGGCCCAAUACUUUGGCGAGUCGAGCUCGAGCCGAGCUUUGGCUCGUUCAAGCGAUAAUGAAGCAUGCUCGAGCCGAGCUUUUAGCUCGUUUGAGGUUGUUCUUAAAAUAGCCCGAGCCGAGUCGAGCCGAGCUCGAGCUCAAAUAAGUUUUUGUUCAAAUUAUCUUUUUUUUUCUUGUUACGGCAGCGGUGGCAAGAGACACGUACCGUUUCGACGCGUACCGUUUCGACCCGUACCUUUUCGACCCAUACCGUUUUGACCCGUACUGUUACGGAUCAGUUCUGUUUGAAUUGUUUUGAGUCUGAACAGAACCUUCAGUCGCCGAAAUUUGUCUAGUAGUGGUAUGCGAGGUAGCUCAGGCAGCUACUUAUGUUGUCGGCGAUGACAAUGGCUGGACGUUUAACGUCAAUGGCUGGGAAAAAGGCAAGAAUUUCAACGCAGGCGAAGUCCUUGUGUUUAAGUACGCAAAAGGAUCACAUAAUGUGGUGGCUUUGGACGAGGGAGGCUAUUGUGGAUGGGAUGUAUCCCCAUACGAUGCAAAGGUGUACACAAGUGGAAAUGACCAAAUUACCCUUGUGAAGGGUUCUAACAGCUUCAUUUGCAGUUUAUCUGAUCACUGUAAUAGUGGCAUGAGGCUUUUAAUCUCUGCAUCUUAAACAACAAGAUAAUAGUAUUUGACUUUGAGUUAUGGAAUAAUGUGUUUCUUGCCUAUUUAUUAUAAAACUAUCUAUGACAAGUUUUCGAUAUAGCAGUUGCUAUCACCAACACAAAAACACCUCGGUUUAACAUUCCUAUGUUAGUGAUGGAGAUUUAUGGCUGGUUAUCUGUGCUAUUCGCCAGAAUAACUGGAAAACUUACACUUAUUAGCCCUCCG
rnacentral:lncRNA from 1 species